rnacentral:lncRNA from 1 species
UUUGUUAUUGUAUAUAAUCUAUACAUACUAAUAAAGUAAAUUCAUCGGGGGACACAUUGUUGGCUCAUGUAAUCAUUCCUUGAAGAACAGGUGAUACAAAGCCAAAACUGGUUCUACGACAACUGAUCCCAAUAACAGUAUUUGAAUCUUAUUUCCCUCCAAUGGCAGUAGCACUCAACAACUGAUGAUGAUCCCUAAAGACUGAUUGUUUUAUAAAGACUGUUACGCAAAGCUCUGUUGGAUGCAAAGACUGUUGAAGACCAAUCAUCUGCUAAAGUCAAAGUACUACUGAAGUCAAAGGCCUGAUCAACCUUAAUGGAAAGCACUGCUCAGUCUCACCAGUGUCUUUAGAGGUUGUUAAGAUUGUUAGAUGUCACUAUCUAGGUCACGUCAGCAAAGAUGCCACAGUGUUUAGGAUUGUACUAUAAAUAGACAGUGCAUGUAUAGUUCUAUUAGCUCUUUGCACACACUUACAUCUUAUACGAACUAACAUUGUGAGCUCAGGCUAAGGGGGAGAAAGUGUUCAUGCAUGCUUAGUCGAAACAUACAUGAUGAAAACUGUUCUUUCCUUGAUUGUGUUAUAAAGUUUUUCUUCAUUCCG